CAGUAGCCGCGGUAGUACGUAGGUGGCGAGCGUUGUCCGGAUUUAUUGGGCGUAAAGGGAGUGUAGGCGGUCUUUUGAGUCUGAUGUGAAAGCCCACGGCUCAACCGAUAGCUUGUUGUUCGAACUGCUUGACUCGAGAGUAUCAGAGGUCGCUGGAAUUCCUAGUGUAGCAGUGAAAUGCGUAGAUAUUAGGAAGAACACCGAUGGCGUAGGCAGGCGACUGGGAUAUUUCUGACGCUAAGGCACGAAAGCGUGGGUAGCGAACCGGAUUAGAUACCCGUUAGUCCCUGUCUCUUAUACA
rnacentral:rRNA from 1 species